GCAACUGAUCUUAUACUACAGCAGGAAGAGAGGAGUAGAGAGAGAGGAGGAGAGAGAGAGGGGGAGAGAGACAGAGGGGGAAAGAGAGAUGAGCGACAUCAGGUGUCAGUGCACUGAAAAACCUAGAUGAGGCUGCAUUGCCACGACAACCAACUCUAGGGUACCGCCAGAUCCUGGCAUCACCGGACAGACCCGAGACCCGAGUCCAGUCUCAGCCCCAGGUCCGGUCCGGUCCGGUCCGGUCCGGUCCGGUCCGGUCCGGCCCCGGCCCCCCUCCAGUCCUGCUUUGCUCAGCAGCCCAGCCCGCUCAGGAGCCAUCAGGCUGUCAAAGACAUACUGGGAAUUAAGAGCAAGAAAAAGGGAAGAAGGAGAGAGAGAAGGCAACGAGAUGGAACCGCUUUCUUCCCAUUGCGUCCCUGUGGAGCGCACAGCAUUC